CGGACAAAGGAAGGAAGCCGAGUUGCUUAAACACGCCCACCUCGCUCGGCAUUGCUAAGUUAGCUAAGGCUAACAAGGUAGGCUAAGAAGCUACGCUACUUUGGCUAGCCCUGCCAGCUCCCUCACGAAACUUGAGUGUGGAGCACUGGUGACAGCUAUGUCCGGCGUGGUGUCCUGAGAGCUGCAGAGACCUUGGGAAUCACCCUCAGUAUGCCGGGUGUCAGUGUCUGCUGGCUUGGCUGGGGUGGACUGUAGUGGGGAGGCCUUUUCUCCUUCUUUUCCCACUCCCUGUGAGGAAGAGCAGCACCAGAUGUCCUCAUCAUCCACUGUGGCGGCAGUGACAUGAGGAAGGUCAGCAGUGUCAAGCUGGUCAGCAUGAUGAAGAAGGACCUGCACCAGCUUCACCUCCAGCAUCCUGGCAUUAAGAUAAUAUUUUCUUCAUUGGCCCAAAGGUGCAUGUGGGAGGCUGGUGGCAAUCCAGCAAAGAUUGAUAAGGCCAGGAAAUGUGUUUACAGUUAAAAAUUAUAUGUUUUUAAGUAAAUUAGUUAAUUGUCUUAAAGACCACCUCCAAACGCAGUGAACCGCUUACUGUUGGCAGUGUCACUGCUUUUGAAUUUGGCCUUUAGAACACAUUUUGUUAGGCCUGAUCAUAGCCCAGGCUGCUGUCAAGACUAAUGUUGAGUUUUUGAUAUUCAUCUAUAACUUGUUUAAAAUUUCAAUAAAUUCUAUUUAUAUUUGC